AGAUUUAUCGGUGAUGGAUGGGGAUGCGUCUGAUUAGCUUGUUGGCGGGGUAACGGCCCACCAAGGCGACGAUCAGUAGGGGUUCUGAGAGGAAGGUCCCCCACAUUGGAACUGGGACACGGUCCAAACUCCUACGGGAGGCAGCAGUGAGGAAUAUUGGUCAAUGGACGAGAGUCUGAACCAGCCAAGUAGCGUGCAGGAAGACGGCCCUAUGGGUUGUAAACUGCUUUUAUAAGGGAAUAAAGUGAGUCUCGUGAGACUUUUUGCAUGUACCUUAUGAAUAAGGACCGGCUAAUUCCGUGCCAGCAGCCGCGGUAAUACGGAAGGUCCGGGCGUUAUCCGGAUUUAUUGGGUUUAAAGGGAGCGUAGGCCGGAGAUUAAGCGUGUUGUGAAAUGUAGACGCUCAACGUCUGCACUGCAGCGCGAACUGGUUUCCUUGAGUACGCACAAAGUGGGCGGAAUUCGUGGUGUAGCGGUGAAAUGCUUAGAUAUCACGAAGAACUCCGAUUGCGAAGGCAGCUCACUGGAGCGCAACUGACGCUGAAGCUCGAAAGUGCGGGUAUCGAACAGGAUUAGAUACCCU
rnacentral:rRNA from 1 species